rnacentral:rRNA from 1 species
AUUGAACGCUGGCGGCAUGCUUUACACAUGCAAGUCGAACGGCAGCGCGGGCUUCGGCCUGGCGGCGAGUGGCGAACGGGUGAGUAAUACAUCGGAACGUGCCCAGUAGUGGGGGAUGGCUCGGCGAAAGCCGGAUUAAUACCGCAUACGACCUGAGGGUGAAAGCGGGGGAUCUUCGGACCUCGCGCUAUUGGAGCGGCCGAUGGCAGAUUAGCUAGUUGGUGGGGUAAAGGCCUACCAAGGCGACGAUCUGUAGCUGGUCUGAGAGGACGACCAGCCACACUGGGGCUGAGACACGGCCCAGACUCCUACGGGAGGCAGCAGUGGGGAAUUUUGGACAAUGGGCGAAAGCCUGAUCCAGCAAUGCCGCGUGUGUGAUGAAGGCCUUCGGGUUGUAAAGCACUUUUGGCGGGAACGAAAAGGACUGUGCCAAUACCACGGUUCGAUGACGGUACCCGCAGAAUAAGCACCGGCUAACUACGUG